CAGCGCCGCGGUAAUACGUAGGGUGCGAGCGUUAAUCGGAAUUACUGGGCGUAAAGCGUGCGCAGGCGGCUUUGCAAGCCAGAUGUGAAAUCCCCGGGCUCAACCUGGGAACUGCAUUUGUGACUGCAAGGCUAGAGUACGGUAGAGGGGGAUGGAAUUCCGCGUGUAGCAGUGAAAUGCGUAGAUAUGCGGAGGAACACCAAUGGCGAAGGCAAUCCCCUGGACCUGUACUGACGCUCAUGCACGAAAGCGUGGGGAGCAAACAGGAUUAGAUACCCUGGUAGUCCACGCCCUAAACGAUGUCAACUGGUUGUUGGACGGCUUGCUGUUCAGUAACGAAGCUAACGCGUGAAGUUGACCGCCUGGGGAGUACGGCCGCAAGGUUGAAACUUAAAGGAAUUGGCGGG
rnacentral:rRNA from 1 species